rnacentral:rRNA from 1 species
CCAAUAGCGUAUAUUAAAGUUGUUGCAGUUAAAAAGCUCGUAGUUGAAUUUCGAGAUCAAUAUAUUGGUCGUGCCUUUGGUAUGUACUGGUAUUAUUGGUUUCUCCUUUCUGACGAACUAUGAUGUCAUUAAUUUGGUGUCAUAGGGAAUCAGGACUGUUACUUUGAAAAAAUUAGAGUGUUUAAAGCAGGCACGCGCUUGAAUACAUUAGCAUGGAAUAAUGAAAUAGGACGUUUGAUCUUAUUUUGUUGGUUUCUAGGAUCGACGUAAUGAUUAAUAGGGAUAGUUGGGGGCAUUAGUAUUCAAUUGUCAGAGGUGAAAUUCUUGGAUUUAUUGAAGACUAACUACUGCGAAAGCAUUUGCCAAGGAUGUUUUCAUUAAUCAAGAACGAAAGUUAGGGGAUCGAAGACGAUCAGAUACCGUCGUAGUCUUAACCAUAAACUAUGCCGACUAGGGAUCGGAUGAUGUUAAUUUUUUAAUGACUUAUUCGGCGCCUUACG